AACUCUGGGGUGGGCUACUGUGCCACCAAGGGGACCAAGGGGUUCGUACUUGCUCUCUUCUGGUAUCUUCUCUCCUCUCAGCUUGUUCUUCUGCCGUGGCCGUCUCCGGUCGGAGGGUUUGGCCUUCGUGUGGAGUUCGUGGUGAACAGGUGACUGUUUCAGUUAUUUUCCCCUUCUAUUGCCGGUUUCCAAGACCUUCUGGCUUUCUCUUAUUCUAUCUUAGUCCAUGAGACCAGUAUGGAUCCAUUUGGUAGUAAUACCCUGAAUCAGCCUAAAGCAAGUCUCAAUAGCCCUCAGGCUAAAGACGGAGGGAAGAAAAGUCUGGAUAAGAAGGCAGCAGUGGAUGAAGAAAUGAAGAGAAUGAAUAAACAUCCUACAAAUAGUGUGUUUGCUACUCAUCGGUUGAGGGUUCUCAAUAAAGUCCUCCAACUUUUGUCCAUUCAGAGAGAAUAAAGAACAGUGCAAAAGCUAAAAACCCUGGUAGUAAUCCAUGAGGCGAGGAGCUUUUCAACUCGGCAGAUUGUGGUUCUACAACGCUCGCAAUCUUCCUUCUCAUCUUCCGGUCGCCAAUCCAAAUCUCAAUAACAGCAGCCCUUCUCGCAUUUCUUCUCUCUCUGACGUGAUUUCUUCUUCUUCCAACUUGAGGAGGCUUUUCUCAUCCGAAAGCGAUUCGCCCCAUGGAAACCCUAGUUCUAACCCUGACCCCCUUCCAGAAGAAACUAGCUUGCAGCCCCAAACCCAGAAAAAGAGGGAUGUCUCUGUGGAUGUUCAAGACGUCAGCAACAAAGAGCUGAAAAUACGUAUUGAAAAGUACUUUAAAAAAGGUGAUGAAGAGGCACUCCCAUCCAUUCUUGAAGCAAUAAUCCAACGAAAGUUAAUAGGAAAGCACGAGGAAACCGAUGAUGAGCUGAUAGAAGAACUUAGUAGCAAGCCGGUGGACGGUGUUGAAGACAAUGAGUUUGAAUCUGAUUUUGAGGAGUUGUACGAGACUGAUGAAGAUAUUGAUGAUUUGUAUAAUGCAACGGAUAUUGUGAAGAAGAGGAUGGUUAAAGAUGAAUUCUUCCACAUGGACAACAAGAAGUGGGGAGAUAUGAUUAAUGAGGCAAUGAAUCAUGGAUUUCUUAAGGAUACCAGGAAAUGUGAGGCAAUUCUAGAGGACAUGCUUAGCUGGGAUAAGCUCCUUCCAGAUGAGAUAAAGCAGAAAGUGGAGAAAAAAUUUAAUGAGAUAGGUGACAUGGUUGAAAGGGGGGAGAUUGAAGUUGAAAAAGGUUAUGAGCUUUUCAAGGAUUUUGAAGAUGAGAUGGUUUUGGAAUGUGGUAAGAUGAUGGAGGCAGAGGGACCUCCACAGUGUAAUGAUACCUCUGUGCCAGACAAGAAAAAGAAUAUAGAUGACCCACCAGGUGAGGGGCCAGUUCUCAGGUGGCAGACCCGUGUUGUAUUGGCUCCCGGUGGUGAUGCAUGGCACCCCAAAAACAGAAAAGUGAAGAUGGCUGUUACUGUCAAAGAGCUUGGGCUCUCAAAGCAUCAAUUUCGUCGUCUGCGGGAACUCGUUGGAAAGCGCUACCAUCCGGGGAAAGAUGAGCUAACAAUCACCAGUGAGAGGUUUGAACAUCGGGAGGAGAACAGAAAGGAUUGUCUUAGGACUCUAUUUGCACUCAUUGAGGAAGCCGGAAAAGCUGAUAAGCUUGUGGAGGAGGUUCGAACUCGUUAUGCCAAGGGGAGACUCAGAGCCAAUACACAGUUCAUGGAGAGGUUGCGUACCAAGUCCAUGGAAAAUAAAGGAUCCAAGGUUUUGCCUGCUUGAAGAAAUAAUUCUCAGUGGCUCUUCUUGAAAAAGUAAAGAAAAGUACUUGGGCUCCGGACGUGCCUUCCAAAGGGUUUUUGAAUCGCACUCAACUGCAAUUUGAGCUUCAACGGAAGGUCAAUUCUCUGUACUGCAACUCGCUGGGAACAUCCACUGAAGAAGCACUUAGAGCGACACUUGUUAUUCCUGUUGAAUAUGGUUCGAGACCCCCAAUUGAUUUCGCUUCUGGGAUUUCUUCUUUUCUUCUACACAUUUCCAAAAAUAUUUUGUUGCUUCCUGUUGUCAGUUUUUUUGGAAACAGAUGGUUAAUCGGUUUUGUUUCUGGUAAAAUAUAAAACUGGUUUCUGUUUA